rnacentral:rRNA from 1 species
GACAGAGGGUGCAAGCGUUGCUCGGAAUCACUGGGCGUAAAGGGCGUGUAGGCGGGACAGUAAGUCGGGCGUGAAAUCCCUGGGCUCAACCCAGGAACUGCACUCGAAACUACUAUUCUUGAGUGUCGGAGAGGAAAGCGGAAUUCCUGGUGUAGAGGUGAAAUUCGUAGAUAUCAGGAGGAACACCAGUGGCGAAGGCGGCUUUCUGGACGAUAACUGACGCUGAGACGCGAAAGCGUGGGGAGCAAACAGG